AUACUUACCUGGUAGGAGAGAUACCAUGAUUAAGAAGGUAGUUCACCCAGGGUGGGGCUCAGCCAUUGCACUCUGGUUGUGCUGAUGUCCUGCAAAUCCCCCAAAUGUGGGAAUCUUGACUCACAAAGUGGUUGCGGUGGGGAAAUAGAUGCUUGAGCCCCAC